GACGAACGCUGGCGGCGUGCUUAACACAUGCAAGUCGAACGGAAAGGCCCUGCUUUUGUGGGGUGCUCGAGUGGCGAACGGGUGAGUAACACGUGAGUAACCUGCCCUUGACUUUGGGAUAACUUCAGGAAACUGGGGCUAAUACCGGAUAGGAGCUCCUGCUGCAUGGUGGGGGUUGGAAAGUUUCGGCGGGUGGGGAUGGACUCGCGGCUUAUCAGCUUGUUGGUGGGGUAGUGGCUUACCAAGGCUUUGACCGGUAGCCGGCCUGAGAGGGUGACCGGCCACAUUGGGACUGAGAUACGGACCAGACUCCUACAUGAGGCAGCAGUGGGGAAUAUUGCACAAUGAGCGGAAGCCUGAUGCAGCAACGCCGCGUGCGGGAUGACGGCCUUCGGGUUGUAAACCGCUUUCGCCUGUGACGAAGCGGGAGUGACGGUAAUGAGUAAAGAAGCACCGGCUAACUACGUG
rnacentral:rRNA from 1 species